UGGGGAAUUUUGGACAAUGGACGCAAGUCUGAUCCAGCCAUGCCGCGUGCGGGAAGAAGGCCUUCGGGUUGUAAACCGCUUUUGUCAGGGAAGAAACGAGUUUCUCUAAUACAGAGACUUAAUGACGGUACCUGAAGAAUAAGCACCGGCUAACUACGUGCCAGCAGCCGCGGUAAUACGUAGGGUGCAAGCGUUAAUCGGAAUUACUGGGCGUAAAGCGUGCGCAGGCGGUUAUGUAAGACAGAUGUGAAAUCCCCGGGCUCAACCUGGGACCUGCAUUUGUGACUGCAUAGCUAGAGUACGGCAGAGGGGGAUGGAAUUCCCCGUGUAGCAGUGAAAUGCGUAGAUAUGCGGAGGAACACCGAUGGCGAAGGCAAUCCCCUGGGCCUGUACUGACGCUCAUGCACGAAAGCGUGGGGAGCAAACA
rnacentral:rRNA from 1 species